rnacentral:tRNA from 1 species
GUGGGCGUAGCUUAGUUGGUUAAAGCGUCAGAUUGUGGCUCUGGAGAUCGGCGGUUCGAAUCCGCUCGCCCACC